UACGGGGGGGGCAAGCGUUGUUGGGAAUUACUGGGCGUAAAGGGCUCGUAGGUGGCCAACUAAGUCAGACGUGAAAUCCCUCGGCUUAACCGGGGAACUGCGUCUGAUACUGGAUGGCUUGAGUUUGGGAGAGGGACGCGGAAUUCCAGGUGUAGCGGUGAAAUGCGUAGAUAUCUGGAGGAACACCGGUGGCGAAGGCGGCGUCCUGGACCAACACUGACACUGAGGAGCGAAAGCCAGGGGAGCAAACGGG
rnacentral:rRNA from 1 species